rnacentral:tRNA from 1 species
GGCUUGGUGGUCUAGUGGUAUGAUUCUCGCUUAGGGUACACCCGAAAGCAAAUGUGCGAGAGGUCCCGGGUUCAAUCCCCGGCCAAGCCC